UGCCCCCUGGCCCAGUUGGUUAAGGCGCACGACUGUUAAGAUUCUGAUCAAUCGUGAGAUCGGCGGUUCGAGCCCGCCGGGGGCAG